GUUACGCCUUGGGUUAUACGCGGGGGUUAAGGAUUAGAGGUUUGUAGAAACCAAGAAAGAUAAAGUUUUUUGAAAGUGAAGAUUGUUCGGUCAGAAGACAUGUCAGGAACAACUGGACCAAAUUCACAAGUCAUAAUUCAAAAGGAAGGAAGUUCUCUUUCCCAAUUACAGUGUCCUAUUUUGAAAGCAACUAUAACACCCCAAAAUAGGAUAACAUGAAACUAAGUUCAAAUAAUUAAAAGAAUUAACUAAGUUAGUAAAAUGUUACAAAAGCUAGUUAAAGGGUGGUAAGUGUUUAAUGAAAUAAAUGAAAUUCUAUGGGGGUUAAACAUGUCAAACUGUUAAGUAAGGAUAUUAGAAGGAAGGAAACCCCAAAAUCACACAUCUAUGCGUGCCUGGGGUCGAACAAGCAGGGGGAAACAAGGGUGAAACCCUUGUUUACUAAAUUCAAUCAAUUGGAUAGGAGAAUUGAAGAUAAUCAACUGCAUAAACUCGAAAUUACACUCAUCUAAACUCGAUUAUUGAAGUGGCGUGAAAGAAGAAGGUUCCAACACUAGGAAAUUGGAAAGUUCACAAGAUCGAGGUAAAUCCUCAAUGUAGGUGACUUGGCAAAUUGGAGCGAGCACAUGCACACUUUUAGAUCAUCACGCGCUUCCGCUAUUAUGUAUUAAUGUUUUGGGUCAAUUGCUUGUUUUUGUAUGACAUUGUUAGUAGUUACACUUGUUAACACUUGGUAUGGUUUUUAGUCGUGUCUAGUCGAACGGGUCGUAAACUUGUUGUUUGAUGAUGGUUAAUACAGGGAUACACUCGUCUUACGGACGGGUCAUGCCCAAUUUUUGUUAAAA